CUCCACUUCUUCUCUCGUUUUAUUUUAUUUUAUUUUGUUUUUCAUCUCAGAAGGAAGCGGAAAGCCAACGAAUCGAGACUAAUUAACACUUUCGUGAUCGAAGCACGCGAUAAACGCGUUGUUACAUGAGGGUAACGUGUCGCGUUUGCUACCUACCAGGAGCCAUUUAAGCAGGAUAACAUGUACACAGUGUAAUAUGAAGUUUGAUUGCCAACACGUAAAAUACAUACUAUUAUAUCGAGACAGUAAUUAUACACGUGAAGCACGUGAAAUAGUAUGUAUAAAUAUACGUUAUUUUACACGUUAUUUCACGUGUACAGUAUUUCACGUAUGUUUUAGAUACACGACACACAUACUAUUUAAUAGAAAUUUCUGUACAUAUAGUUUACAUUAUGCUUGCAUUAUUUCGUAACGUAAGAGCCUCUCAUCAGAUACUAUAAAAAGGAAAAAACAAUAAAGUUAACUAAGCUAGCGAUUCAUUCACUAAUCGAAAUACUCUUUAACUCGUAUAUCAUGAAUAAUCAAACUUAACAAAUCACAGCCAUACAAUUGCACUGGCUCCUGAUAUUCUAUCUAACGUUAUCUAUUUCGUGUCCUGUUCAAUCGAGAUAAAUUAAUCGCGAAAGUGUUAAUGAACGUCGAUGCAAUCAUUCGUAUAUUUCGAAGAAUUUUCGACUCAAUCAAUUCAUGUUCAUAAUCGUUAAAGAUGUCGUUCAAGAGUAGAUCAUUUUUAGGGCUCAAUGGAAUGGAAAACGCAGAAUUAAUAUGAAACUUAAGUGACA